rnacentral:lncRNA from 1 species
CCGGCAGACCCAAGGGCGGCCUCCUUCAUGGAGGGCAGUCAGGGACACACAGUCCCUGAGCCAGACCCAGAAUGGGGAGACCCCUAUAUUUCCUGGGUCGGGGAGGGAAGGGAGCUCUGAAGGGCGUUCCCACGUUCCAGGUGAGCAGGACUUUCAGACCUCUGGGAAUCCAUGACGCCAGGUGUCUUCUGCAAACAAAGGACCUCCCAGAGCCCACGGAGGGGGAAUGUUUCGAAAGUGUGCUGGCCAGGAAAGAGACCAGACGUGAACCACACUUCCUCCCUCCCUCUGCUCCAGAUGUCUGCACCAGAGGUGGUCGGGAGGAGGCUGCCAGAUAGACAAGACAACAGGAGCGUUGGAAAAGGGCGGCUUCCACUACUACCUCCCAAUGUGGGGAUGUGACUGGAAGAGCAGCUCCAUGACCCAAGGAUGGGACUUUGGCUUUCUUUUAUCCCCAAGCCAGCCCGUGACAUGCCUUCUGCUAGAUGGAUGGCUGUCUGCAGCUCUGACCCUGUAGUUUUGCGCAGAUUAUCUGUCCCAUGAAACGUUUAGACUCUGGCCUGAGAAUUCCUCCUUUCGUCUUCUUUUUUUUUUUUUUUUUUUUUGAGACGGAGUCUCGCUCUGUUGCCCAGGCUGGAGUGCAGUGGCGCGAUCUCAGCUCACUGCAACCCCCCGCCCCCCAGGUUCAAGCAAUUCUCCUGCCUCA